CACGUACAUUUAUGUACAACCGUACACGAAUACGCUUAGCAAAUCGCACAAUGAAGUUUCACGCUCUCACUCUCACAUACUAUUUUUUUCUUAGCGAUUUGGAGACCUGUCUUUUGGCUUUAUUUAUGCCUAUUUGUUGUUUUUCUGCAGCCCAGCUGCUGAUUACAUUUCCGAUUUCUAGUCAUUCUUGCGGACAAUUAUCAAAAUAGAACCUUGCGAGCCAUGCCUGGCAAGGACAAGAUUUACAGCAGUACGGUACCGAUGGAUAAAGCGACGUCAGAUGUUGGAAACUAACUGAAAUGGAAUUUCUUAUUGCUUACAUUUCUCUCCGCGAGUCCAAUAAGAAAACCAGCGCACGCACGCGAGCGAACGAACGAGUCUGAAUUCUGACUGGAGUGUGGGACAGUGGAACGUAUUCAGCAGUCAGCAAGUGCGCAGAGAGAAUAGGUGCGAGGGAGAGAGUGCUAGCGCUGUGUACACGUUGUCUGUUUGGAGUUGUGCUCAUCCCCUCUACCCGUCACCAUACAUCGAACUGCCACCCACUGACUGUCUCUCUCGCUCUACUGCAACGUUUUGGGGCGGGAGCUGUGGUGCCCGGAGAGUUCUAAGCUGAAUUCCUAUGCGCUUGAGUGUUCGUCUGUGAGCAGUUUGAGAUAGCAGAUAACAGUAAGACGUCGAUACUAAAAACUAUUUCACGUGCUAACAGACAUAAUAGACUGGAAUAUUUGAUUUCCUACUAAUUGUUGCUUUUUAAAUAUAAAAUUUUAAAUUUUUAUCCAACUUCACAUUACAAUAGAGAACGCCUUUAUUUACAUGUCGAUAGAAAUUGACAAAAUGUGGGCAUGAAAGUUUCAAGCGCACUAUAAUCCCAACACUAGAUUACGGUAGAAAGGCCACGUAGUGACAAAGAGCAUCAGGAGAGAAUGCGGAUAAGAAUAGUGUCAGAGUACUAAAAUUAUAAACAGUUAAUCUGAUUACUAACAGUCUCUAAACACUUCCUAUUAUUUUCGCAAAUAUCCCAAAAAAUAUGCAGAUAUAGCAGUCAUUGAAGCAAAAUCCUCGAAAUGUUUCUUUUAAUUUUGCAUUUGAAUUCAUAAUUGUCUUUCAAAUACAUAGUAUAUUUAGCGAGUUAACACCGUACUGUGCUGCAGUUGCUGUGAAUGACGAGAGCGAGAAAGAAAGUCUCUCGCCUAAGCUGUUGCUCAUGUGUGGGGUUGUUUUAGCUUAGGAGAUGGUUUUCCUAGUCAGCGAUACCGAUAAAUAUUUUAGGCGCCGUUGUUUUACCCAUUUGAAAUUGUAAACUGAUCCAAAAACAUUUUACUUAGAAAAAUGAGGGAAUCAGCUCUCGUGAUUGACCAAAAAUAUCAACGCGCACAGACACAUACAUAUGUAUGUUUGGACUUUUGAGCUGAUUAAAGACGAUAAUAAACUGGCAGUGGUUCUUCAAUUAGAGAAAGUGACGUCACAUAUAAAGAAGUUCUUCUUCGUACAUUCCGCUCUUGCAGAUAUGGGCGUCAGGAGAGACAUAGAUAGCCGCAGAAAUAAGAGAGAUGUCAAGAGAAAAUAGAAAGUACCAAUGGCGGUGAGCGGCGAAAUAGGAAGAGAGAGCACACUGGGUUUUUUUUUUCAUGAGAGAGCACCAUAAAAUGCAUGUGCAGCAACAACAAACACAAAAUAAAACAGGAAAUGGGAACAAAACGUUAAUACAAAAAAAGCAACAAAUCAGUUUCUGAACUCCACCAAAAGCCAUAAAAAAAAAAAAAAUGAUACCAACUGCAUUGCAUAGUUAACCCCUUUUGUUUGUUCCUUUCGCUCUUGCAUUAACACCGAAACCCCAAAGGUUUUUUCUUUCACAAAUCGAAGUUCAGGUUCAUUGCCUUACAUGUGUGGCUCCUUGGUUUAUUUUUAUACCCCCUAUUCGUAGAAAAAAGGGUAUACUAAACUAGAAGUAGAAAGAAGCAAUUCCGUCUAAAAGCUAGAAAGUUAAGAUUAGGCGUGCAUGUUCCAGGGACGAGGACGCAGCGUUAAAAACUCGAUAACAGUAUAGACGAUCAGAUACCCCUUAUUCAGCAAGCUGAAGAGCAAGGGAUACAGUUUAAAAUUAGUUUCACAAAUAACA